GACGAACGCUGGCGGCGUGCUUAACACAUGCAAGUCGAACGGUAAGGCCCUUCGGGGUACACGAGUGGCGAACGGGUGAGUAACACGUGGGUGAUCUGCCCUGCACUUCGGGAUAAGCCUGGGAAACUGGGUCUAAUACCGGAUAGGACCACUGCCUGCAUGGGUGGUGGUGGAAGGCUUUUGCGGUGUGGGAUGGGCCCGCGGCCUAUCAGCUUGUUGGUGGGGUGAUGGCCUACCAAGGCGACGACGGGUAGCCGGCCGGAGAGGGUGACCGGCCACACUGGGACUGAGAUACGGCCCAGACUCCUACGGGAGGCAGCAGUGGGGAAUAUUGCACAAUGGGCGCAAGCCUGAUGCAGCGACGCCGCGUGAGGGACGACGGCCUUCGGGUUGUAAACCUCUUUCAGCAUCGACGAAGCGCAAGUGACGGUAGGUGCAGAAGAAGGACCGGCCAACUACGUGCCAGCCGCCGCGGUAA
rnacentral:rRNA from 1 species